GGGUGCGAUCAUACCAGCGUUAAUGCAUCGGAUCCCAUCAGAACUCCGUAGUUAAGCGCGCUUGGGCUAGAGUAGUACUGGGAUGGGUGACCUCCCGGGAAGUCCUAGUGUUGCACAAC
rfam:Picea glauca, whole genome shotgun sequence.